CAAGGAUUCCCCUAGUAGCGGCGAGCGAAGCGGGAAGAGCUCAAAUUUAUAAUCUGGCACCUUCGGUGUCCGAGUUGUAAUCUCUAGAAGUGUUUUCCGCGUUGGACCGCACACAAGUCUGUUGGAAUACAGCGGCAUAGUGGUGAAACCCCCGUAUAUGGUGCGGACGCCCAGCGCUUUGUGAUACACUUUCAAUGAGUCGAGUUGUUUGGGAAUGCAGCUCAAAUUGGGUGGUAAAUUCCAUCUAAAGCUAAAUAUUGGCGAGAGACCGAUAGCGAACAAGUACCGUGAGGGAAAGAUGAAAAGCACUUUGGAAAGAGAGUUAACAGUACGUGAAAUUGUUGGAAGGGAAACGCUUGAAGUCAGACUUGCUUGCCGGAGCUUGCUUCGGUUUGCAGGCCAGCAUCAGUUUUCCGGGGUGGAUAAUGACGGUUUGAAGGUAGCAGUCUCGGCUGUGUUAUAGCUUUCCGUUGGAUACAUCCUGGGGGACUGAGGAACGCAGCGUGCUUUUUGCGAAAGACUCGUCUUUUUCACGCUUAGGAUGCUGGUGGAAUG
rnacentral:rRNA from 1 species